CCUACGGGUGGCAGCAGUCGAGAAUCAUUCACAAUGGGGGAAACCCUGAUGGUGCGACGCCGCGUGGGGGAAUGAAGGUCUUCGGAUUGUAAACCCCUGUCAUGUGGGAGCAAAUUAAAAAGAUAGUACCACAAGAGGAAGAGACGGCUAACUCUGUGCCAGCAGCCGCGGUAAUACAGAGGUCUCAAGCGUUGUUCGGAAUCACUGGGCGUAAAGCGUGCGUAGGCUGUUUCGUAAGUCGUGUGUGAAAGGCGCGGGCUCAACCCGCGGACGGCACAAGAUACUGCGAGACUAGAGGAAAGGAGGGGGAACCGGAAGUCGUGGGUGAGGAGGGAAAGGCGUAGAUAUCGAGAGGAA
rnacentral:rRNA from 1 species